GAAAGUUUUAAGACCUCAAUAAGAGAUGGCAUGGGACAAAGGAAGUCCUCAGUCGGCGCAUAUCAACAUCAUCGAUUUCUUCUUCUUCUUCAUGAUCACCUACCUAUAUAUAUAUAGAUCGAUCCCCUCCAUGCAUGCCAUGUAGCUAUCUUACUUCAAUUUGGUUCUGCAUUCAACAACAAUCUAGACUAAGAUAAUAUCUCACAUGACUAUGAGACGCAUACAUGCAUUAGUGGUAGUAGUAGUAGUAAUUAUAUUUGAGAAAUUGCUGUAAACAAAAGAGACAAUUCAGGGUAUUGGACGUAGAAUGGUACACCCCUCUCUAGGUUAGCUCGGUAUAAUGAUGAUGGAAAGUUGUUAACUGUCAAUGUAUAGUAGGUUUUGUCAUUGGUGACUCGACUGAUAAUAGUUUUAUAGUGUAUUAUUCAUUAUUCAUCGACCUAAUUAACACUGAGGUAGCAUUUGAAUUGAUGAUGAUCAUCUAGUUUUUUUAAUCGGCCUCUAUUUUUUUUUUGGUCAGCGGGAAUAGGACUAACUCGUCCUUACCCAAAGAUUUAUUAAUAAGAAGAAAAAAAAAGUACAACUUUGAGGCUGUGAUAUGGUUGGCUAAGAUGUUUAGUUAACAACUUUGAGGUCAUAAGUUCAAACAUCACUGUUAUAUGUAAGGUGCAUGUUGAGAAUUGAUAGUUAAGUUUGUGAUCAUAGUUUACAAAUCAUGGAGCCCUUCUAGUGAGGACUCUUAAGUUGAGGACUAGUUGAGGACUUUUCGGUUUAUGGUUUAAAAGACCAUUUUUCGAUCACAUUUUGACAUCUCAUAUGUUUAGUUUUUGGGUUUAUAUGAGUAAAUCAUUUCUAUAAAUUUUCAGUCAAAUUGGUGUUCUUUAAGAUAACAAACUAGAUCAAAUUAAUGGACGAACCAAAUCUGUCAAAUAUGAACCGUUCAAGUUCAUAAUUGAUAAAUCAGACUUACGAAUGCCUUAACAAUUUUCAAUAUAGCUGAAAAUUUGGAUAAAUAAUCUACUUAUAAAUACCUAUAAACUAAACGGUCAAGAUGUGGAUAUAAGAUCAAAAGGUGGGAUAAGCCGAAAAGUCCUCAAUAAGUCCUCAACUUAAAGGUCAUCACUAGAAGGGCUCCAUCAAAUCAUAGUUAUAUAGUAGUUCUUUGUGUUGAUGUUUGAUAGCCUAAUAGCAAAAAAAACCAAUAUAUCUUUGUACUUUUUUUCAAAAGUAAUGUGAGAACAACAUAUCCAUCCCCAAAACUCGUUUCUUUUCAUAUGACCAAAGCAAAUUGAGAAGUUUAGGUGCUUUGAAUUAUCGAAAGAAAUUGUUACAAAUUUAAACAUCUUUUACGAAACGACAUUUUACUAGAAAAACAUAAGAUAACAAAACCGAUAAAUUUAGAAAGAUUCAGGUCGGUUUGAACUAAAGCCGAUAAAUUUAGACAGAUUCAAGUCACUCAACUUAGCCUAGCUAUGGAAGAGAGUUUCUCUGUAAUGAAGUGCUUUUAUAUAUGAAUGGUCUAGCUUAGAUCGUAUUCAAGCCAAGUUUGAAUUAACUGAUUGGGAUGGAAAUUCGAUUUCCAGGAAGAUAAAGACACAAACCUGGAUUACAUAGUAUCUGAACCAACCCCUCGACGUCGAAUAAUUUAAGCUAUAGUCACUAAUCAAUAUUGAACUGGCAGUGUUAAGCAUUGCACUAGUACUACAGCACUUACGUUGCUGUCAAUUGACGCCUUCCAUCUUUCCAUUUGUCACUGACUUUUUCACUGACGUUUAUUAUUCUAAUCCCAGAUUUUUGCUGAAUAGUUCUUCGAGUCUUAUAAAAACAAGAAGAAACUAGCCGUCUCCCUCGAGUAAGCACUGAUCUCAUUUUUUUGAACUAGCUAGACAUGGUCAAGGUCACUGCACUAAACAUGAACGUGUUUUAUGAUCUGUGGCCGUCUCAGACCAAAGAGAAGGAGCUAAAACAAGUGCUACGUAGUUAUACAAGGGGACAAAUGGUGUGGUAGUGAUUUUCCGAUUUUUAAAGUAAUGGGUUACUAUCUAUUUAUUCCUUUUGAACUGCUCCCUCGAUUGCCAUCUUAAUUGAUCUCAUUAUUAUCUAAUUAUCACAUUAACAGAGACUAGAGCUAGUUGUUUAGUUGGAGCUUAAAUAGUUACGUACAAUUCUUUUUUUCCUUACUAAGGAGAAUAAUGUUAAGAUUCAACUAUGGAGGAUUGGAUUAUGGAUAAAAGAAGUAAACUUAAGAACAAUACUAAAAGAGCUAAUGUAAUCAUGAAGUGCCACUAGUACUAAUUAGGCCGUCUCUCUCAUUAGUCUCUACAAAUGAGUUUGUGGGGGUGGUUGGUGAUUAAAUUAGCAUAUGUGAUUUGAAUUUUGCCCGCUGAAUUAAGCUAAUGAACAUGAUAUAUAGUAUGAUGCAUGUGUCUCAUUGUGUAGAUUGUUCUGUGUACUCUAUGAAAGUGAUAUUUGAUAUGGAUAGUACAUGUUAUGGCCAUAUAUAGUGACUUGUGGUUGUAUUCAUCAAGACCUUUGUGUUACCAAAACAUGAGUGCUUGGUCAAUCAGUGACUGGGUGAACACGAAUGUGUUCAUAAAACCUGAUCAUUUUUUGUCUUGAAAGAAUUCAAUUCGAUCACUAAGAAAAAUGAUCUAAUCUCAUAGCUCACAACUUUAGUGGUAGAUCGAGUUCUUCUCCUUCAACCUAUAACAAGAGUUCGGCCUUUGUCUCAUUAUCUAGCCCUAGGUAGUCUUGGAGAGGAAGUAAGCUACCAAAGUGUGUACCACAUAGUCUCUUUCCAGCCCAUAAGCUAUCAAAUAAGUA
rnacentral:lncRNA from 1 species